UAUAAAGUGCCUGAAUCAAAGGAUAACUAUGAUAUAGUUAAUAAUGUGCCCCCCACCUUUAU
rnacentral:tRNA from 1 species